GGAGAGGUGGCUCAGCAGUUAAGAGCACUGGCUGCUCUUCCAGAGGUCCUGAGUUCAAUUCCUAGCCACUGCA
rnacentral:tRNA from 1 species